rnacentral:misc_RNA from 1 species
AAAAACAAGCUAAAAUAAUUUGGGAUUUACAAUACUCAUAAGCCUUGAUUUGAGGCUAUUGCAAAAAGAAUAAUUAAAGAAACACGGGUAGGGAGAUAGCCUCCACUCUCUUCUCUCCUUCCAUACAUGUAAUAAGCAAGUAGAUUUCGUUAUUUUAACACAGAUGCUACUCACUCAUCUCUUGCUUGUUGCUCUCUCAUGGUUGAUGGAGAGUAACACUAUUUCUUGGAUCUUCCCCAUUUUGGUUUUUCUUUCUAUAACCCAAAAUUGAUGAG